rnacentral:rRNA from 1 species
UACAGAGGGGGCAAGCGUUGUUCGGAAUUACUGGGCGUAAAGGGCGCGUAGGCGGCCUUCUAAGUCGAACGUGAAAUCCCCGGGCUCAACCCGGGAACUGCGUCCGAUACUGGAAGGCUUGAAUCCGGGAGAGGGAUGCGGAAUUCCAGGUGUAGCGGUGGAAUGCGCAGAUAUCGAGAGGAACACCGGUGGCGAAGGCGGCGAUCUGGACGAUGACUGACGCUGAGACGCGAAAGCGUGGGGAGCAAACAGG